AGUAAUUUUCAUAACCUACAGAGAUACUACGCUUUGCAUUACCUACAGAUACUACGCUAUACUACGCUUUGAAUUAUCUACAGAUACUACGCGUUGAAUUAAUCUUCUUUGUCUAGUUUCAUUUGCCUCUAUAACUGAUUCCUACUUUCCUAGUCCCCAUAAGAACUGAACGCCACAACUUCCAUAUAAUGACAAUUGAUGACAUUAUAAUAGUUCCGACCUGCUAGGGAUCUUUUAACACCUUCACUCUUUUUUACACUUAUAUUGUGUCAGUGUGUAAAGUGUGAACAUUUCUGAAUCUUGGUCGAUUUUGUGGCUUUCUCUGACCAAAUCCACCUAUGAACAUGUCACUUCACAUUUAUGAGAGCCAAUGGGGGUUACUAUCUAGUAUGACAAUUUCAAUGUCUCUUACAUAUUCUUUCCUUUAUUCAAGUUGUUGAUCCAUAACAGUAAUAUCUAGUCAAAGUUCUUCUCUUAAUAGUUAAACAGUAUCAACAAAACUGUGUCUAGGUUGGAAACUUCAAAAAGUUUUGUGAGGCCAAUGUGAGCAGUGGGAAAUUAUCUUUUCCGAACCUCCCUUUCCUCUGUUAAAGAUCUGUUAGAGCUGGCAAGUUAAAGUAGUUAACAGAGGAUAACAUUGUCUAGAAGGUGUUGUCGCAGUGUGUUCUUUUGAGUUAGGGGGGAGUGCAUUUGUUUUUUAUGUUGCAGUCUACCAAGAGAUUUUCAGCAAGGGAUGCAUGUGAAUAAGGCUCGAAAUACUUAUGAUAGGAGUUGAUCUUACCCUGACCUCUGAAACUGGGCUUGUCAACUGUUGUUCCUCUUUUGCUUUGUGGUAUCGAUCAAUCACCGACUUCAUGCUGUUAAGAGUGGCACAAAUUUUGUUUAGUUUUAGAUACAGUUUAGUCAGAGCAGGGAUAAAUACUUGCGCGAACAACUAUUGUCAUGGAGAAAGACUUUGAUUAUAUCCCGAAAACAUUGAAAAUUACUUUAUUUGACUAAUGUAUGCCUUAUGCCAUGUUUUUCAUUCUAA